rnacentral:rRNA from 1 species
UGGGCAACCUGCCCCUCUCUCUGGGAUAACCCCGGGAAACCGGAGCUAAUACCGGAUACUCCGGCUGGAUCGCAUGGUCCGGCCGGGAAAGGUCCGCCGGAGAGGGAUGGGCCCGCGGCCUAUCAGCUUGUUGGUGGGGUCAUGGCUCACCAAGGCGACGACGGGUAGCUGGUCUGAGAGGACGACCAGCCAAACUGGAACUGAGAUACGGUCCAGACUCCUACGGGAGGCA